rnacentral:rRNA from 1 species
CCUACGGGAGGCAACAGUGGGGAAUAUUGCGCAAUGGGCGAAAGCCUGACGCAGCGACGCCGCGUGAGGGAUGAAGGUCUUCGGAUCGGAAACCUCUGUCAGCAGGGAAGAAAGGUCACUGUGCUAAUCAGCAGUGAAUUGACGGUACCUGCAAAGGAAGCACCGGCCAACUCCGGGCCAGCAGCCGCGGUAAUACGGAGGGUGCGUGCGUUAAUCGGUAUUACUGGGCGUGAAGCGCGCGUAGGCGGUAUGUCAAGUCAAGGGUGAAAUCCCCGCGCUCAACGUGGGAACUGCCUUUGAAACUGGCAGACUGGAGUGUGGGAGAGGAAAGUGGAAUGCCAGGUGUAGGAGUGAAAUGCUUAGAUAUCUGGAAGAACAUCGGUGGCGAAGGCGACUAUCUGGCACAUAACUGACGCUGAGGAGCGAAAGCGUGGGUAGCAAACAGGAUUAGAUACCCCAGUAGUC